UUAUAUUCAUAUAUUCUUAAUAUAUGUAACAUAUCUAAUUUUUAGCAUGGUAUAAUUUUUUCAUUCUUAAUAUAUUCUAAAGAUUAUAAUAGUUUUUCCCAUGUGAUCAUGAAAGAGAUUUAAUUCCUUUCUUUUAAUUAAGUUUAAUUCUCUUAACACUCCCCUUAAACUUAAUUUAUUUUUUUUUACACAUUUCAGGUAAAAAUGUCUAUAACUUAUCAUCGGAUUUGAUAUAGUCCAAUAAAACUUUCUUCUUCUUGAUUUGAUCUUACCAAUAAUUAAUUUUGUUCAAGAGCUUUCUUAGUCAUAUAAGAUGACAUACACAUGAUGAUUCCAUUAUAGAUAACGUCAUUAUGGAUUAUUUCUUCAAAUAUCAAAUUGUUUUGCUUUCUUAGUCAUACAUGAUGAUUCCAUUAUAGAUAACGUCAUAAUGGAUUAUUUCUUCAAAUAUCAAAUGAAAAUAAUGUCGCCCAUGUAAAAAAUAAAAUUAAUUAUACUUUUUCGAUCUUUUAGAACUCUAUCAGAAUCAUUAUCGAAAUAAUCAAUAAGCCAAAAAUCAUUAGAAAACAAAUAUAGUAGACUAUGAGUUAUGAUACUAGCAUAAAAUUUUUUUAAUGGUUUUCAUGUGCGUCAACUUUGGUUCAUCUAUAAAUCCUUACUAAUCCAGUUUUAUAUAAAAUAUUCAAUCUCAAUGCGAGUUAGGUAUCUUAAGCUUCCUACUAAGUUUUUGAAAUAAGUUGAAUCAAUCAUAUCACCAACAAGGCAUCAUCUUGUUUUGAAAGUUUGAUGUCAUAUUCAAUUGAUAUACCAAUUGGUUUACAAUCUUUCAUCCUAAAUUUUUUGAGAAUUUCUUUUAUAUAUAUAUUUAUUUAUUUAUGAAAUCA
rnacentral:lncRNA from 1 species